GAUGAACGCUGGCGGCGUGCCUAAUACAUGCAAGUCGAGCGAACAGAUGAGGAGCUUGCUCCUCUGACGUUAGCGGCGGACGGGUGAGUAACACGUGGAUAACCUACCUAUAAGACUGGGAUAACUUCGGGAAACCGGAGCUAAUACCGGAUAAUAUAUUGAACCGCAUGGUUCAAUAGUGAAAGACGGUUUUGCUGUCACUUAUAGAUGGAUCCGCGCCGCAUUAGCUAGUUGGUAAGGUAACGGCUUACCAAGGCAACGAUGCGUAGCCGACCUGAGAGGGUGAUCGGCCACACUGGAACUGAGACACGGUCCAGAGUCCUACGGGAGGCAGAAGUAGGGAAUCUUCCGCAAUGGGCGAAAGCCUGACGGAGCAACGCCGCGUGAGUGAUGAAGGUCUUCGGAUCGUAAAACGCUGUUAUUAGGGAAGAACAAAUGUGUAAGUAACUAUGCACGUCUUGACGGUACCGAAUCAGAAAGCCACGGCUAACUACGG
rnacentral:rRNA from 1 species